UGGUUGGUGGGUGGGGACUUCAACGAUAUUCUUUAUGCUCAUGAAAAAUAGGGCGGCUUGCUAAGGGAAGAGGCUCGGAUGAAGGCUUUUCGUAAAACUUUGGAAGAUUGUCAAUUGGAGAAUAUUGGUUUUUUAGGUGCUUGGUUCACGUGGGAAAGAGGCAAAACUAUGGACUAGAAUAUUAGGGAAAGAAUUGAUAGAGGGGUGGCCACUGAUUCUUGGUUUCAACUUUUUCAAAAGUAUUCUUUAACGCAUCUUCCACAUUCUUUCUUGGACCAUUGUCCAUUACUUAUGGAAACGGAAGAUGAAAAGAGGGGUAAAAAAUCUGUUAAGUUUCGAUUGAAGUUGAUAAUCUUAUAUAUCCCAAGACAAAGAUAGCAUUAAAACCAGAUAGCGCUGUCAAUAACAUCCUGAGGAACAACGCGCUUUAGUAAGCACACGAACCCUAUUGUCAAUUUCCUUCAAGUUUUGCUUAACCAACAGACCCAACUCUUUCAAAUCUAUCAAAUUCAAACUAUGUAAUAUCCAUUUUCCUUUCAGGCUUUGGAACAUGGUUUUCAACUCCUGUCGAUUUUCCUUACACAAUUUCCUAAGAUGUUGAGUAGCUUUGGCUAAGCUUUGCUCAAGGAAACUCUCUUGGUUAAACCAUCAAUUGUUUUGUUUCAACAAGGCAGCUUCUUGAACUUGGC
rnacentral:lncRNA from 1 species